GAAAUUUACUUUGAACAUUUUUUUGAUAAAAAAUUUGAAAAAAUAUUGACAACUUAAUUUCUUAAAAUAUUAUAAAUUACUUAACCCAUUAAUCUCACAGUGAAAAUUUUGCUAUCACUAAUUUAGACUUUUUUCUAUAGCAGAUACAAAUGAUAAAAAAUAAAUAUGAGCAAAAAACAUCAUCUAAUAAAUAUUAAUAUUAAAAUAUACCAUAUAUAUGUUACUAUCAUUUAAAUUUAAUUAUAUAUCAUAUCAAAUAGAAAAAAUAUUUUUUUGAUUUAUA
rnacentral:lncRNA from 1 species